rnacentral:rRNA from 1 species
AUGGCGAAGUCGCCCAUGGCGAUCUUGGCUCUCGGGCUAGCAGCACUAGUCCUAUCCGGCGCCGGGCUGGUGGCCGCGCAGAACUGCGGCUGCCAGCCGAACGAGUGCUGCAGCAAGUACGGUUAUUGCGGGACCGAUGCCAGCUACUGCGGACAAGAUUGUCGGUCGGGCCCGUGCACGGCGAGCGGCGGCGGGAGCGGCGAUCCCGUGGAGAGCGUCGUCACCGACGCGUUCUUUGACAGGAUCAAGUCCCAGGCCGCCGACGGGUGCCCCGGGAAGAGCUUUUACACGCGCCAGUUUUUCCUGGACGGCGCCCAGGCGAACCCCGACUUCGGCAAAGGCAGCACCAGCGACGACGGCAAGAGGGAGAUAGCCGCCUUCUUCGCCCACUUCACCCACGAGACCGGACACAUGUGCUCCAUCGAGGAGAACGAAGGGGCGAGCAAGGAUUACUGCGACGAGACGAACACGCAAUGGCCGUGUACCCCGGGGAAGGCGUACUACGGGCGCGGGCCGCUGCAGCUGUCGUGGAACUACAACUACGGGGCGGCCGGGGAGAGCACCGGGUUCGACGGGCUCAACAGCCCGGAGACGGUGGCGCAGGACCAGGCGCUAACGUUCAAGGCGGCGUUCUGGUUCUGGAUGACCAACGUGCACCAGGCCGUGCCCAGCGGGUUCGGCGCGACGACCAGGGCAAUCAACGGUGACGUGGAGUGCGACGGCAAGAAGCCAGACUUGGUGAGCGCGCGGGCGGGCUACUACACGGACUACUGCCAGCAGUUCGGCGUCGACCCAGGGAAUAACCUCACUUGCUAG